GUGGCUCAAUGGUAGAGCGCUUGCCUUGCUUGCAUGAGGCCCUGGGUUCGAUUCCUCGGCAACACA
rnacentral:tRNA from 1 species